UGAGGGUCGUGGGGUCCUAGCGCCAAACUGAUAAUGGGGCGGUGAAGGUGGGCGGGACUAAGUCGCCUUAGUCCGUGACGUGCGGUGUAGUUGGGGAAACGCACCGUGGUUCCCCGUCGGGUCAGGAGAUCCCGAGCCCCAGGCUGGCGUGGGCGAAGCGUACAAUCCCUUCACCUUUCGUCACCCAGAGGCACAAGAAUCCAGUUCGCGCCAACUGACCUGUUUCUUCCUUCCUCCCCGGCACUCUGGGAGUCCUGAGAUUGCCUUGCUCGGUUCGUCUCAGACUUGCUAGAUCUGAGCAGCUGCUGCUCCUCCACCAAGGGUGCUCACAUUCUCCAGGAAACUCCCUUAAGGGUUAGCAACCGCCGAGUAGGUUUCGGUCCCAAGAUAGAAAGGUAUGGUGGAUGGAAGCUUGGAUGGGAGGAAAGAGUCAUUGACAAGUGUACUCUAUCAACAAAACUGGCCGCUACAAGUGCAAAAAGCUGAAUGAAAAAUGGAAAGGUUACUGCUGAAAUAUUUACAGAUGGAAGGAUAUGAUGUCUAGAAUUUGUUUCAAACAAGACGAGGUCUUACUACCAUAGCCCAGGCUGGGCUCAAC
rnacentral:lncRNA from 1 species